rnacentral:rRNA from 1 species
AUUGAACGCUGGCGGCAGGCCUAACACAUGCAAGUCGAGCGGAUGAAGGGAGCUUGCUCCUGGAUUCAGCGGCGGACGGGUGAGUAAUGCCUAGGAAUCUGCCUGGUAGUGGGGGAUAACGUCCGGAAACGGGCGCUAAUACCGCAUACGUCCUGAGGGAGAAAGUGGGGGAUCUUCGGACCUCACGCUAUCAGAUGAGCCUAGGUCGGAUUAGCUAGUCGGUGGGGUAAAGGCCUACCAAGGCGACGAUCCGUAACUGGUCUGAGAGGAUGAUCAGUCACACUGGAACUGAGACACGGUCCAGACUCCUACGGGAGGCAGCAGUGGGGAAUAUUGGACAAUGGGUGAAAGCCUGAUCCAGCCAUGCCGCGUGUGUGAAGAAGGUCUUCGGAUUGUAAAGCACUUUAAGUUGGGAGGAAGGGCAGUAAGUUAAUACCUUGCUGUUUUGACGUUACCAACAGAAUAAGCACCGGCUAACUUCGUG